rnacentral:rRNA from 1 species
CCUACGGGUGGCAGCAGUGGGGAAUAUUGCACAAUGGGGGAAACCCUGAUGCAGCGAUGCCGCGUGGAGGAAGAAGGUUUUCGGAUUGUAAACUCCUUUUAUGGGGGACGAUAAGGAGGGGAUCUGCAGUAAAAGAUCCGGCGACCUAUGUGCCAGCAGCCGCGGGAAUACGUAGGGAGGGAGCGUUGUCCGGAAUUACUGGGGGUAAAGGGGGCGUAGGCGGGAGGGCAAGUCAGAUGUGAAAACUGAGGGCUCAACUUUCAGACUGCAUUUGAAACUGCUGUUCUUGAGUGAAGUAGAGGAAAGCGGAAUCCCUGGUGUAGCGGGGAACGGCGUAGGAAUAAGGAGGAACAUCGGUGGCGAGGGCGGCUACCGGACCUUUUACUGACGCGGGGGCUCGAAAGCGUGGGGAGCAACCAGGAUUAGAUACCCCAGAAGUC